GUUCGGACCCUUCUCCAGGCAGCAGAGCCGGGGCAGGGGCGCCCCGGCCGCUGCGUCCGCGCUCAUCUCGCCCUGCGACGGGUCAGCGGCGCGACUUGGGGUUCCGAUGGGGACGGGACGGGACGGCCCAGCCCUUCUUCCCGUCCAGCGAACCGGGAGCGCAGCAGAGAAGCCCUGAGCCGCCGGACGGGCCAAGCAAGCAGGUGUCCCAGGAACCGUCGGCCGCCGCGAGCCGCGAGGAGCCGAGAGAGGACCACAGACCAAUCCCCGCCCCGCGCGGCGUCUGAGCGUCCCAGAGUCCGCCCCGGCUCCUUACCCCGGGGGCGGGGCCGCGCUGAGGAAAAAUGAUUAGGACUGUAAAGCCUUCUAGCUCCCUCUUGCCAAAGAGAGGCUGGUCACAGAGGCGGGAGACAGUCUGUUGAGCGGGGAGCUGACCAUCUGAGGACAGACACUGAGGAAGGAGGAUGGAAUGAUUUUGGCAGUGAAUGACAAUUCCUUCAACAAGACCCCCCCCCCCCACUCACUUCAAAGAAACAGUGGACAGGAUGUGCUUUCCAAAAUACUG
ensembl:lncRNA SLC9A3R1-AS1 SLC9A3R1 antisense RNA 1